AGUGAACGCUGGCGGUAGGCCUAACACAUGCAAGUCGAACGGCAGCACAGUAAGAGCUUGCUCUUACGGGUGGCGAGUGGCGGACGGGUGAGGAAUACAUCGGAAACUACUUUUUCGUGGGGGAUAACGUAGGGAAACUUACGCUAAUACCGCAUACGACCUACGGGCGAAAGCAGGGGAUCUUCGGACCUUGCGCGAUUGAAUGAGCCGAUGUCGGAUUAGCUAGUUGGCGGGGUAAAGGCCCACCAAGGCGACGAUCCGUAGCUGGUCUGAGAGGAUGAUCAGCCACACUGGAACUGAGACACGGUCCAGAGUCCUACGGGAGGCAGCAGUGGGGAAUAUUGGACAAUGGGCGCAAGCCUGAUCCAGCCAUACCGCGUGGGUGAAGAAGGCCUUCGGGUUGUAAAGCCCUUUUGUUGGGAAAGAAAAGCAGCAGGUUAAUACCCCGCUGUUCUGACGGUACCCAAAGAAUAAGCACCGGCUAACUUCGUG
rnacentral:rRNA from 1 species